rnacentral:tRNA from 1 species
UCCUGGUGGCUUAGAUGGUAAAGAAUCUGCCUGCAAUGCAGGAGACCUGGGUUCGACCCCUGGGUCAGGAA